ensembl:lncRNA
GUGCGUUGUAAACGUAGCGGCCCCUUUAAGAAAAUUGGACCGAGCUACUGUGAAAAUGAACAUCAACUACUACUAUUAAGAGGAAAUGAUACAGUCUGUUUGACCGAUUCCCCCUCUUUCGCACAACGGUCUAUUCUGGAUCUAAGGCUCAUGAUGCAGUGGGAUUCAAUAAGCUGGUAGGUGCUGCCCAACGCAAGGUUUUCAGCUCCAGUCUACAACGAAUGAGCACGGAAAUAUACCGCAGCAUCCUCAUUCAUUUGAAGUGUUUACGCUCAGAUCAUAAAGGCAUCACCCCCACUGAUAACCUGCAGCAGCUGGAGGACAAGGUCAGCUCAGACAGCAGCUCGGAGCCCGUUAAAACCUGAGCCACACACAGGUUUGUAUGUAUUUUUUUUGUUUUACUAAAAAAUUGACUAACUUUGUUUUUAUCCAUUAUAACUUACAGAGUACUAGCUGCAAAGACAAUACUUAAAACAACAGCAAACCCUCUGUUUA